CCUACGGGAGGCUGCAGUGGGGAAUAUUUGGCAAUGGGCGCAAGCCUGACCCAGCAACGCCGCGUGAAGGAAGAAUGCUUUCUGGUUUUAAACUUCUUUUAUCAGGGACGCAGCAAGUGACGGUACCUGAUGAAUAAGCCACAGCUAACUACGUGCCGGCAGCCGCGGUAAUGCGUAGGUGGGAAGCGUUACUCGGAUUUACUGGGUGAAAAGGGCGUGUAGGCGGGAGUGCAAGUAAGAUGGGAAAUCUAUGGGCUCAACCCAUAGCCUGCAUUUGACACUGGACUUCUUGAGUGCGGGAGAGGCAAUCGGAAUUCCGUGUGUAGCGGUGAAAUGCGUAGAUAUACGGAGGAACACCAGUGGCGAAGGCGGAGUGCUGGACAGUAACUGACGCUGAGGCGCGAAAGCGUGGGGAGCAAACAGGAUUAGAUACCCGGGUAGUC
rnacentral:rRNA from 1 species